rnacentral:rRNA from 1 species
GACGAACGCUGGCGGCGUGCUUAACACAUGCAAGUCGAACGGAAAGGCCCUGCUUUUGUGGGGUGCUCGAGUGGCGAACGGGUGAGUAACACGUGAGUAACCUGCCCUUGACUUUGGGAUAACUUCAGGAAACUGGGGCUAAUACCGGAUAGGAGCUCCUGCUGCAUGGUGGGGGUUGGAAAGUUUCGGCGGUUGGGGAUGGACUCGCGGCUUAUCAGCUUGUUGGUGGGGUAGUGGCUUACCAAGGCUUUGACGGGUAGCCGGCCUGAGAGGGUGACCGGCCACAUUGGGACUGAGAUACGGCCCAGACUCCUACGGGAGGCAGCAGUGGGGAAUAUUGCACAAUGGGCGGAAGCCUGAUGCAGCAACGCCGCGUACGGGAUGACGGCCUUCGGGCUGUAAACCGCUUUCGCCUGUGACGAAGCGUGAGUGGCGGUAAUGGGUAAAGAAGCACCGGCUAACUACGUG